rnacentral:rRNA from 1 species
CCCUUAGAUGUUCUGGGCCGCACGCGUGCUACACUGAGUGGAUCAGCGGGUCAGGUUGCGCGAAAGUGUUUCCUAAUCUUUAAAUCCGCUCGUGAUGGGGAUUGACGGUUGCAAUUUUCCGUCAUGAACGAGGAAUACCUUGUAAGCGCGGGUCAUCAUCCCGCGCUGAAUACGUCCCUGCCCUUUGUACGCACCGCCCGUCGCUCCUACCGAUUGAGUGGUCCGGUGAGGCUUUGGGAUCUGGGCGGAAAGAGCGUUUCGCUGUUUCUGCCCGGAAAACUCAGUCGAACCUUAUCAUUUAGAGGAAGGAGAAGUCGUAACA